rnacentral:tRNA from 1 species
GCAUUGGUGGUUCAGUGGUAGAAGUCCCACCUUACAUGUAGGAGACUCACGUUUAAUUCCUAAUCAAUGCA